rnacentral:rRNA from 1 species
UACAGAGGUCUCAAGCGUUGUUCGGAUUCAUUGGGCGUAAAGGGUGCGUAGGUGGCAUGGUAAGUCGGAUGUGAAAUCCCGGGGCUCAACCCCGGAACUGCAUUCGAUACUGCUGAGCUAGAGUACUGGAGAGGAGAUUGGAAUUUACGGUGUAGCAGUGAAAUGCGUAGAUAUCGUAAGGAAGACCAGUGGCGAAGGCGGAUCUCUGGACAGUUACUGACACUGAGGCAGCGAAGGCCAGGGGAGCAAAACGGGG